rnacentral:piRNA from 1 species
UCAUGAAAUUUGUUGUUCUGCCUCCCA